rnacentral:rRNA from 1 species
CCUACGGGAGGCUGCAGUGAGGAAUAUUGGUCAAUGGACGAGAGUCUGAACCAGCCAAGUCGCGUGAAGGAUGACUGCCCUAUGGGUUGUAAACUUCUUUUAUAAAGGAAUAAAACGAGGCACGUGUGCCGUUUUGCAUGUACUUUAUGAAUAAGGAUCGGCUAACUCCGUGCCAGCAGCCGCGGUAAUACGGAGGAUCCGAGCGUUAUCCGGAUUUAUUGGGUUUAAAGGGUGCGUAGAUGGGUUGUUAAGUCAGUUGUGAAAUGUUGGGGCUCAACCGUGAAAUUGCCAUUGAUACUGGCAGACUGGAGUACAGUUGAGGUAGGCGGAAUUCGUGGUGUAGCGGUGAAAUGCUUAGAUAUCACGAAGAACCCCGAUUGCGAAGGCAGCUUACUAAACCAUAACUGACGUUGAGGCUCGAAAGUGUGGGUAGCAAACAGGAUUAGAUACCCGGGUAGUC